GAUGAACGCUAGCUACAGGCUUAACACAUGCAAGUCGAGGGGCAGCAUGGUCUUAGCUUGCUAAGGCCGAUGGCGACCGGCGCACGGGUGAGUAACACGUAUCCAACCUGCCGUCUACUCUUGGACAGCCUUCUGAAAGGAAGAUUAAUACAAGAUGGCAUCAUGAGUCCACAUGUUCACAUGAUUAAAGGUAUUCCGGUAGACGAUGGGGAUGCGUUCCAUUAGAUAGUAGGCGGGGUAACGGCCCACCUAGUCUUCGAUGGAUAGGGGUUCUGAGAGGAAGGUCCCCCACAUUGGAACUGAGACACGGUCCAAACUCCUACGGGAGGCAGCAGUGAGGAAUAUUGGUCAAUGGGCGAGAGCCUGAACCAGCCAAGUAGCGUGAAGGAUGACUGCCCUAUGGGUUGUAAACUUCUUUUAUAAAGGAAUAAAGUCGGGUAUGGAUACCCGUUUGCAUGUACUUUAUGAAUAAGGAUCGGCUAACUCCGUGCCAGCAGCCGCGGUAAUACGGAGGAUCCGAGCGUUAUCCGGAUUUAUUGGGUUUAAAGGGAGCGUAGAUGGAUGUUUAAGUCAGUUGUGAAAGUUUGCGGCUCAACCGUAAAAUUGCAGUUGAUACUGGAUAUCUUGAGUGCAGUUGAGGCAGGCGGAAUUCGUGAUGUAGCGGUGAAAUGCUUAGAUAUCACGAAGAACUCCGAUUGCGAAGGCAGCCUGCUAAGCUGCAACUGACAUUGAGGCUCGAAAGUGUGGGUAUCAAACAGGAUUAGAUACCCUGGUAGUCCACACGGUAAACGAUGAAUACUCGCUGUUUGCGAUAUACAGCAAGCGGCCAAGCGAAAGCGUUAAGUAUUCCACCUGGGGAGUACGCCGGCAACGGUGAAACUCAAAGGAAUUGACGGGGGCCCGCACAAGCGGAGGAACAUGUGGUUUAAUUCGAUGAUACGCGAGGAACCUUACCCGGGCUUAAAUUGCAGAUGAAUUACGGUGAAAGCCGUAAGCCGCAAGGCAUCUGUGAAGGUGCUGCAUGGUUGUCGUCAGCUCGUGCCGUGAGGUGUCGGCUUAAGUGCCAUAACGAGCGCAACCCUUGUUGUCAGUUACUAACAGGUUCCGCUGAGGACUCUGACAAGACUGCCAUCGUAAGAUGUGAGGAAGGUGGGGAUGACGUCAAAUCAGCACGGCCCUUACGUCCGGGGCUACACACGUGUUACAAUGGGGGGUACAGAGGGCCGCUACCACGCGAGUGGAUGCCAAUCCCAAAAACCUCUCUCAGUUCGGACUGGAGUCUGCAACCCGACUCCACGAAGCUGGAUUCGCUAGUAAUCGCGCAUCAGCCACGGCGCGGUGAAUACGUUCCCGGGCCU
rnacentral:rRNA from 1 species